CCAGAUUCCCAUCCAAAGCAACCACUUCAAUUUUUGAGGGGAAGGCAGGGGUUUAAAAAGGGAAAAUUUGAUAAGCAAGGCAUUCAAGAACUGUGGUAAAUACAACAUAUGUGUGUCUCGUUCUGGUGGCUCUCUUGGGUCCCAGUCCACCUGGUGUGUGGGCUGGCGUCAUCUCAACAAUGGCCAGGUUGUUAACUAGCUGCCUUGAAGUCAUCUCUGGAAUUUUGCAGCUGGGUCUCCAGGCUUGGUCUGUCUGUCUCAAGAUUAGUGCCUGGAAGUUCUAGGAAGGCACAAUUAGAUACUAGUAUACAAUUAGAUAAAUGUGAAGGGAGUAUAUAUCGUGAGAAAAGGAGGGUCAUGGAGUCUGUUUUAAGGCUAAGGGAAAAGGUUUCUACAGUUUGCUUCCAGGUUAUAUCUUGAAAUUCAAGACAAAAAAAAAGUUUUAAAAUGCACUUUGAAGUUAAGCUGCCUGGUGACACAUUUGUCCAUACAAGUAUGAGCGCCUCGAAAGGAAGAGAUAUCAAAGCAUUAUCAAUGGCAGCCUCAGCAUUGACCACAAUAGUUAGAAGUUAUAAAUGAGUAAUUAAAGGCAAAAAUCUGGUCCUAA
rnacentral:lncRNA from 10 species